UACGGAGGGUGCGAGCGUUAAUCGGAAUUACUGGGCGUAAAGCGCGCGUAGGCGGUCUGGUAAGUCGGGUGUGAAAGCCCCGGGCUCAACCUGGGAAUUGCAUUCGAUACUGCCGGACUAGAGUAUGGUAGAGGGAAGUGGAAUUCCGCAUGUAGCGGUGAAAUGCAUAGAGAUGCGGAGGAACACCAGUGGCGAAGGCGACUUUCUGGACCAAUACUGACGCUGAGGUGCGAAAGCGUGGGGAGCAAACAGG
rnacentral:misc_RNA from 1 species